CAAUAGCGUAUACUAAUGUUGUUGCAGUUAAAAAGCUCGUAGUUGAACUUCUGGUAGGAGUGUCCCGGCCUUUUUGUUUUUACAAAUUGUAUGCUGUGUGACGUCUCUGGCCAUCCUUCUUCUUUGUUUAAAGAAGAUCUUUCACUGUAAAAAAAUUAGGGUGUUCAAAGCAAAAGUUUCUUUGGAAUAUAUUAGUAUGGGAUGAUAAGAUAGGCUCUAGAUGCUAUUUUGUUGGUUUGCACAUUUAGAGAAUGAUUAACAGGGACAGUUGGGGGUAUUCGUAUUUACAUGUCAGAGGUGAAAUUCUUGGAUUUUGGAAAGACGAACUACUGCGAAAGCAUUUACCAAGGAUGUUUUCAUUAA
rnacentral:rRNA from 1 species